GAAAAAUAAUGGUGGAGAGAAAGAAAAACAUAAAGGUGGAGCUGUGAAGAGAGCGAAAGGAAACCCUAAGUAGCGGAGCAUUUGGCAUCGAUAUUCGGAACAGAGAAAGACAGAGUUAACUGUCCUUUUUUAUUUCAAGAUCGGAGCUUGUAGACAUGGCGACCGCUGUUCUCUCCAACAUUAGCCCCACUCUUGUUCUCUCCAACAUGUAUCAAAGACCUGAUACGAACCUCAACUUCAUCAACCCUACCCCUAAUCAACCUCAACCUCGACCUGAAUCUCUUGACCCCGACAAGCUCCAAGAACACUUCGAUGAUGAGCGUUGAAGCGUUGAACUGCGAUGCAUGAGAAACUUUUAAAGAGAAAAAACCCUUGGUUACGAUGGAUGGAGAACUGACUACAGACAAUUAAUCGCCGAUCUUAUUUAUUACUUUUAUCUAAUGAGCGACCAAACCAAAGUUCAAGGCGAAAAGUGAAAAUGCGUUGUUGGAUAUAAAUACAAAGAAAGAAAGGGAGCAAGGGAGAAGAGAGCAAUGUUCCGUGUGAUAAUUGAAAACGAUGGGAUAAUGGUCAUAUUAUUUUGACAAGGUUCAUGUUUCAAUAUAUGCUGCAGCGUUUCCUGCAAGUUGUGAGAAUAGAAGAGAAUGAGCUAUUGUUGGUGGCUUGUUGACUUGCGUCCAUCUUCUCAAUAGUCAUACCAUAACAAUAUUAUUAUGGUUUGAAUGAUAGAUGAUAAGGAUAUUGCGUGGAAGUCUGAUUUACUUUAUGUGAGUGAAUGAAUUUGUGAUAUAACUCUGUUAGUUGUCAGAUGUGUCAAAGACUAUAUGUGCGAAGACAUAAUUUGCAAACGACAGAUUGGAUCUAUUUCUACGUUUCAAACACGGGUAAUACAUCAUUUGGUGGAUAUUAUGAUCUGUUGUAUUUGUUGGACGCGCUGCAUACCAAUCUCUAGACAUCUUUAUUCAUGUUAGUUUCUUAUUAUCAUUAUUCUAGUUUGAGUCCAACGUCAUUUGACUAUCAAAAUAUUGGGUCAUAUUUGGAAUAUCGUUCGAAGGUUUACCUUGAGAAGAAUCUUUACCCUUUUAUUGCUAUACAUCUAAAUGAGAUAAUCUAUAAAAGAAUGUGUAAUGUUAACCACUCAAUAUUAUUUUUGAAGUUAAAGUGGUUUUGACAUUUUUGUUAACAAUGUAUCAGAGUCUUUUGUAGAUUCUUUCAAGCAAUGUUAAAUGCAUAACAAUUUGACACAAUCAAAUUGAAGACAUUGUACUCUAUAAUAGGAUUAAAAGGGUGAAGAUUCUUUUUGAAGAUAAAAUUUGUUUAUUCUAAAUAUGACCUAAGAUUCAAUCAACUGGUGUUGUAGAAUAAUGAUAUUCUAUAUGACGACUAAAAGAAAUAAAGGUGUCCAAACAUUGGUAUGUAGCGCGUCCAACAAAUACAUAUCAUAUCAUAUCCACCAAAUGGUCAACGAAUGGAUGGUGUAUUAUCGGUUUUGACGCAGAGAAAUAGAUCCAUCAUUUGCAAAUUUUGUUUUUGACAUCUCUGAACACUAAUAGAGCUAUGUCUCAAGUUAACUUCACAUGAACUAAAUCAGCUUUCAACACAAAAUCCUCAUCAUUUAUUCUUCGAAUCAUAAUGCUAUUGUUAUGGUAUGAUUUAACAAGAGGAUGGACGUAAGUCAACAAAAAUACCAUAAUAUGUCUUAUGUCUGGACAUGCAUUGUAUCACAAAUAUAUGUUAUGCCGCUAUGAUUACACAUUUUACCAAGGAAGAACUUUAAUGCGAAGUUUAUUAUUUUUUAUGAUUGCUGGUAAGUUCUCUUAAAAAACCAAACAUUUUUUUUAGAAUGUGAAAAGGAAAGAUUUUGUCGGGAUUUAUGUCGUUGGAAAGCAGAAGAAUAGCAAUUAUUGUUGCAACAUGGGCAGGAAAAUGUUAUGUCCAUGAACGGCCAUGGCUUUCUCUGGAUUAGUUCAAAUAAUUAAAGAGUUGUUUUGGCAUAUGUUUAUUCAUUGUAUUGAGUCCAAAAAUUCCGUGUUCAACCUAAACUGAAUUGAAUGAAGACAUUGUUCUUUACAUGGGUUGGCAAUAUCGAUGGUCUUAGUAAAUAGACGAUUAUGCCAAUGUUAACCCGAGUAGAAGUCAUUUCAUCUUCGUCUACAUUCUAGUCGUGGGUCGUUAUUUUGCCAAACCAUUUGAUCUUAUGGCUGCUCCAGGUGAAUUCAGGGUAUUCCGACGACCUUUUCUUGGAGUUGAGGCUACAAAUUUUUACGCAGCUGAUAUAUCUCUCAUAGAGAAGAUUAUUCAAAAGAUUCUGAAUAUUUGCAAUGGGGUUUUUGUUGAGAAGAUAUCUUGCAAAUUCGUUCAUAGAUUUCAUAAACAACGUUAAGUAUAUAGCAACUUGGCUACAACAAUUAUAGCUACGAUUUGGGCCUUGGAUAUUAAAGACCAAUACUCUAAAAUGGAAUAGAAGGGGGAAGAUUCUUCUCAAAGGAGGGCAAACACUAUACAGCAAAGUUUAUGUUCUAUUUCUGCUAGAUAGUGUGUUCCUAUUGUGUAGGGAGGACAUGUCUCUUGGAUCUAAGGCCAAGCCGUAGGCAAUUGAAAAGGAAGGGUCCAUUUAUGUUUCUAAUUAGGUUUGUAUUUGAUAUUUGAUGUUCUUUCUGGAUUCUCUGUUUUUUAUUGAGCUAACUUUUGGAGAUGACUUUUAAUUCAAACCCUAGCAUGAAAAUAACUAGAGUUUAAGUUUAGCUUGUGACUAGAUUCUAGUUUAGCACGAAUAUCCUGACCAAACUAAAUUAGAUAGAGGAUUAAUGAAUUUGGAUAAUUUAAGAAA